UAUGAAUUUAAGAAGGACUGCUCCACAAUGUCCCCUGCUGGUUUCUGAGGUGCUGAAGGAACGCUGUAGUCUGUCUUGGCCUCAGAUGGCAUACUUGCUCUGGGGUUCUAGGUUCUGAAAUAUGGUGAGAUGUAUCUGUCUGCAGUAGAACAUUAUGGGCAUCACUUUCAACUUAGUGCCCAUGGAAAGGAAGUACAAAGAAUAAAGAGUCAAGAGAGAACCAGAGUCGUGCUGAGCAAAGGACUUGGACCAUCAUUUCCAGAAUGUGUUAAGAGCCUCAGAAGAAAGGUGCAGUACCACUCGAAGAUUCCUCCCCAGACUCAAGUCUAUCACUGCCCAGAGGUGUAAGGAAUACGUCACGGGAAAUGUUUGACCAG